rnacentral:tRNA from 1 species
AUUAGGGUGGCAGAGCCCGGUAAAUGCAAAAGAUCUAAGCUCUUUCUACAAGGGUUCAAAUCCCUUCCCUAGUU